GUCACUUCCAACGGCCGCCGACGCGGCCCUUCCCGACCACCUUCUUGCUGCGGGGGGAGGGGGGGGGGAGCGGGCUGGGACCCCCGGACAGGGACCCCCCGAGCCGCCCCCCCCCGAGCCCCGCCCCCAGGUGCCCCCCGCGACCCCCAACGACCCCCCCCCGGCACCCCCCUGACGCCCCCAAACACCCCUUAUCCUCCCACCCCGGCCCUCCCCCCCCCCCGCCCCCGCUCCCCCCCCCCCCCCCAUCCGACCCCCACAAGUGACACCCCCCCCUCCCCCCUCCGGGGACCCCCCGGUUCCUCCCCCCCGGCCCCCCCUUACAAUUUCUGAGCGUGGCUGAUGCGGUUGUACAGGACGUUGAUCUGGGGAGGGCUUCUCCAUCAGGUCGAACUUCUCGGACUCGAGCUGGUGGAUCCAGUCGUGGAGCUCCUUGGCCUUGACCCUGGGGGGCGGGUGGGGGGUCAGCGGGGGGAUGGGGGGGUCAGCGGGGGGAUGGGGGCGGGGAGGGGCCCCACCUGAGCUCGUCCUCCCGCAUGUGCUCGAUGUUGAGGGGCCGCUUGCGCUCGGCCAGGAUCCGCAGCUUCAUCUCCCGGCCCGUCUGGCGCUUGCCCCGCUUCUGCUCCGCCUGGGGGGACGGGGGGGGCUGUGGGGCAGCCUGUGGGGCGCCCUAUGGGGCAGCCUCUGGGGGGCUACGGGCUGCCCCCUGGGGGCGCCCCACGGGGAUGACCCAGGCCGGGGGAUUUUGGGGGACCCUCCUGGCUCACAGAGGGCUGCCCCCUGCCCCGGGGGGGUGUGCUGUGGAGCUGGGGGUCGCUGUGGGGCUGGGCCCGCCCCCCACCUUGGCCAGGUACCCCCCGAAGUGGGGCAUGGUGGACAGCACUUUCUUCUUCUUGGCGUCAUCCUCCGCUCGCUUCUUGGCCUCCUCCUCCUCCUUGCGCAGCCUCUCCUCCUGGGCGGGACGCAGGGCGUCGGGGAGGUGGGGGGCACACGGGGGGUUUGGGGGGGAUGUGGGGCGGGGGCGCGGGGGUCCUGCUCACCGCCAGCCGCGCCUGCCGCUCCCGCUCCUUCUCCGUCCGGCUCCGCAGCUGCUCGUUGCGCUCGGUCCGACGGCGCUCCUGGGGCACCCCCCGUCACCCACGGGGACCCACGGGACCCCCCCCCCACCCAGUGCCACCCGUGGGGACCCACAGAUCCAUGCUGCCACCUGCCACUGUCACCUGUGGGGACCCACGGCCACCAACAGCCACCCGCGGGGACCCACAGACCCCCAUGGGCACCUUCCCCUGGGACCCCCCGGGACCCCCCCCCCGCCACCUCCAGCCCCCGGGGACCCCCCGGGACCCACAAUCCGCUCCAUCAGGGCCACCAGCUCCUGCUCCUCGCGGCGCCGCUGCUCGAAGUGGGCGUCGAUGAGGGUCUGCAGCUCCAGCAGGUCCUUCUCCAUGCGCUUGCGGUGGAUGUCCUGGGGGGGGGGGGGGGGGGGGGGGCCGGGGGGGGACACGGUCACCCGGGGGGGGACACAGCGUGGGGGGCACCGCCCCCCGCUGCGACCCACAGCUGCUCCCCGGGACCCCCCACAGUGGGGCCCUGCCAGCCCCAUAGUGAUGCCACAGCCCCAGCCCCAUAGCCCCCGCCAUCCCUAUAGCGCCCUCCAGCCUCACAGGGACACCCUCCCCCCCCAUAGCAACCCCCAGCCCCACAAGGACACCCCUCCCAGCCCCCCCCCCCAUCGCCCCCCACUCACAUCGAAGUCAACCCGCUCCCCCUCGGGGAUCUUGGGGGGGGCCAGCUGGGGCACGACAGGCCUGGGGGGCCGGGGGGCAGCGGGGGGGGGGGUCAGGAGGGUUGGAGGGGGGCAGCAGGGCUGCCUCACCCCCCCCAUCCCACUCCCCCCCCCCCGCUCACCGGGGCCGGGGCCGCUCCUCCUCUGUGGGGGGGGGGGAAAGGUGUCAGGGGGGUUUGGGGGGGCUCAGAGGGGGCGGGGGGGGCCUGGUGGGGGGGGGUCGUACCUGGCUCCUCUGGUGGUUUGCGGGGCCCCGAUGCUGCGGGGGGGGGGGGGGGAGGGAGAGAGCAGAGGGUCAAGGGCUGUGGGACCCCCCCCCAUAACCCCCCACAGGGUCUGGGGGGGUCCCAUGGAUUGGGGGGGCUCGGGGGGGGGCUUCCCCUGCACUUACCCUCCUCCUCUUCCUCCUCCGCCGGCUCCUCCUCUGUGGGAGAUGGGGGGGGGGACAGGAUCGGGCCCCCCCCAACCCCCCCGUGUUAAUUAACCAGAGCCGUUAAUGAGGUCGUGAUUAACGCCCCAACGCUCAUUAAGCCCCCCAAGUGUGGGCUUCCCCCCCCCCCCCCACCCUUUGCUGCCAGGGCCCGUCGUCAGCCCCGUUAAUUAACGCUCUGGGGGUUAAUUGGUGCUUCGGGGGGUUCAUUAAAGCGUUUUGGGGUU